AGCGAACGCUGGCGGCAUGCUAAACACAUGCAAGUCGCACGAACCUUUCGGGGUUAGUGGCGGACGGGUGAGUAACGCGUAGGUAUCUAUCCAUGGGUGGGGGAUAACUCUGGGAAACUGGAGCUAAUACCGCAUGACACCUGAGGGUCAAAGGCGCGAGUCGCCUGUGGAGGAGCCUGCGUUCGAUUAGCUAGUUGGCGGGGUAAAGGCCCACCAAGGCGAUGAUCGAUAGCUGGUCUGAGAGGAUGAUCAGCCACACUGGGACUGAGACACGGCCCAGACUCCUACGGGAGGCAGCAGUGGGGAAUAUUGGACAAUGGGCGCAAGCUUGAUCCAGCAAUGCCGCGUGUGUGAAGAAGGUCUUCGGAUUGUAAAGCACUUUCGACGGGGACGAUGAUGACGGUACCCGUAGAAGAAGCCCCGGCUAACUUCGUGCCAGCAGCCGCAGUAA
rnacentral:rRNA from 1 species